rnacentral:rRNA from 1 species
AUACCCGCUGAACUUAAGCAUAUCAAUAAGCGGAGGAAAAGAAACCAACAGGGAUUGCCUCAGUAACGGCGAGUGAAGCGGCAAUAGCUCAAAUUUGAAAUCUGGUCCUUUCAGGUCCCGAAUUGUAAUUUGUAGAGGAUGCUUCGGCUUACGCCCCGGUCUAAGUUCCUUGGAACAGGACGUCACAGAGGGUGAGAACCCCGUUUGUGGCCGGCGGCUUCCGCCAUGUGAAGCUCCUUCGACGAGUCGAGUUGUUUGGGAAUGCAGCUCUAAAUGGGAGGUAAAUUUCUUCUAAAGCUAAAUACCGGCCAGAGACCGAUAGCGCACAAGUAGAGUGAUCGAAAGAUGAAAAGCACUUUGGAAAGAGAGUUAAAAAGUACGUGAAAUUGUUGAAAGGGAAGCGCUUGCGACCAGACUUGCCCGCGGAUGCUCCGCCGGUCCUCCGACCGGUGUACUCUUCCGCGGUCAGGCCAGCAUCAGUUCGGGCGGUCGGAUAAAGGCCUCGGGAAUGUAGCUCUCUUCGGGGAGUGUUAUAGCCCUUGGUACAAUACGGCCCGCCUGGACUGAGGAACGCGCUUCGGCCAGGAUGCUGGCGUAAUGGUCGUAAGCGGCCCGUCUUG